AUAUGAAUACUUCAGAGUUGGGGACGAGUCUGUCAACUAUCGUCUUGAAGUCAAGAAUUUUUCAGGAGAUGCAAACGAUUCACUUAGUUACCAUGACAACAAGUUCUUCAGCACGCCGGACCGUGAUAACGACCACGUGAACAGAACAUGUACAGCUCAGUGCUUAGGUGCUUGGUGGUACGAUGGUUGCUAUCAGUGCAACCCUAAUGGUCCGUACGUCCAGGAAGGUACCAUCAUCAGUCCUUGUCGUGGUGUUAUCUGGAAUACCUGGCAUGGAAGUAGUUACUCUUUAAAGAGAUUUGAGAUGAAAAUAAAGUCCAAUUAAAACCGUCCAAAAUAUUUGUCAUAUUAUAGGUCAUGUGUUUAUAUUCCGCCAUGUUGGGCUGCACUGCACGCAUUCGGUUGGCAUGAGAAACCUUGAGUGCGCCAUUAAUGCGCAGUUGAAAAAAUUCCAAAUUUAGAUUAUGACUCGAAUAUGUUACAAGGACCACAGAUUUGUUAGCUGCAAAGCUAUUGUGAUCCUCUUAUAGCUUCCGGAUAGAGUUUUAUAAUCACCCUUCGUCAGUAAUACAAGUCCCACAGCAAUCCCAUGAGUCAUUGCGGGAAGUGACCACGUGACAUAUUAGCAAAUAUCACAUGACCUGUCAGUGAAAGUUUCCAUGACAAUGAAGUGGCCUUUUCGAUAAAAUAAAACUGAACUGUUCUUGAUUUGCGAUUUAACUUGCAUAAUAAAAUACAACGUAUGGUGAACUAGAACGUCAAUGUAGAUGGAAUAUAGCAAGAUUAUUUUAGUCAUUUAUUACAUAACAAAUAAACAAAUUAUUUCAUGUUUA